rnacentral:lncRNA from 1 species
CUUUCGUGUUUCCCCAGUCGAGUAAGAUUCGUUGUCCCUUUGCAGAAUCGAAUAUUCAUCCCUUUGUUCUGAUGAUUGCCUUGCUUGCAAUUUAUUCUCCAGUGAGUCAUCUCUCGUCUACCCUUUUGCUGUUGGUAACGAUUGUUUCUCUUUUCGGUUGAUUUAUCCUUUAACAACCUACGACCCGGUUAUGGAUAAUCUUCCAUGCAAGUAUAUUAUCUACGUUUUGACGACAAUAGAUAAUAUAUC